rnacentral:tRNA from 1 species
CGGGGCGUAGCGCAGCCCUGGUAGCGCACCUGAUUUGGGAUCAGGGGGUCGCGAGUUCGAAUCCCGCCGCCCCGACCA